UACGUAGGGGGCAAGCGUUGUCCGGAGUUACUGGGCGUAAAGCGCACGCAGGCGGUCGAUUAAGUUUGGAGUGACAGUUGGUGGCUUAACUGCCAAAGUGCUUUGAAAACUGAUCGACUUUGAGGGCUUCAGAGGGACACGGAAUUCCGGGUGGAGUGGUGAAAUGCGUAGAGAUCCGGAGGAACACCGAAGGCGAAGGCAGUGUCCUGGGGAGUACCUGACGCUCAGGUGCGAAAGCCAGGGGAGCGAACGGG
rnacentral:rRNA from 1 species